AGAGUGAACGCUGGCGGUAGGCCUAACACAUGCAAGUCGAACGGCAGCACGGUAAGAGCUUGCUCUUAUGGGUGGCGAGUGGCGGACGGGUGAGGAAUACAUCGGAAUCUACCUUUUGGUGGGGGAUAACGUAGGGAAACUUACGCUAAUACCGCAUACGCCCUUCGGGGGAAAGCCGGGGACCAGCAAUGGCCUGGCGCUGAUAGAUGAGCCGAUGUCGGAUUAGCUAGUUGGUGAGGUAAUGGCUCACCAAGGCGACGAUCCGUAGCUGGUCUGAGAGGAUGAUCAGCCACACUGGAACCUGAGACACGGUCCAGACUCCUACGGGAGGCAGCGAGUGGGGAAUAGUUGGACAAUGGGCGCGAAGCCGUGACUCCAGCCAUACCGGCGUGGGUA
rnacentral:rRNA from 1 species